rnacentral:rRNA from 1 species
ACGGGAGGCAGCAGUGGGGAAUAUUGCACAAUGGGCGAAAGCCUGAUGCAGCGACGCCGCGUGAGUGAAGAAGUAUUUCGGUAUGUAAAGCUCUAUCAGCAGGGAAGAAAAAUGACGGUACCUGACUAAGAAGCACCGGCUAAAUACGUGCCAGCAGCCGCGGUAAUACGUAUGGUGCAAGCGUUAUCCGGAUUUACUGGGUGUAAAGGGAGCGCAGGCGGAUGAUUAAGUCUGAUGUGAAAUCCCGAGGCUCAACCUCGGUGCUGCAUUGGAAACUGGUUAUCUUGAGUGUCGGAGGGGUAGACGGAAUUCCUAGUGUAGCGGUGAAAUGCGUAGAUAUUAGGAGGAACACCGGUGGCGAAGGCGGUCUACUGGACGAUAACUGACGCUGAGGCUCGAAAGCGUGGGGAGCAAACAGGAUUAGAUACCCUGGUA